UGCAUCCUACGGGGGGCAGCAGUGGGGAAUAUUGCACAAUGGGGGAAACCCUGAUGCAGCGACGCCGCGUGAGUGAAGAAGUAUUUCGGUAUGUAAAGCUCUAUCAGCAGGGAAGAAGAAGGACGGUACCUGAGUAAGAAGCCCCGGCUAACUACGUGCCAGCAGCCGCGGUAAUACGUAGGGGGCAAGCGUUAUCCGGAUUUACUGGGUGUAAAGGGAGCGUAGACGGAAUUGCAAGUCUGAUGUGAAAAUCCGGGGCCCGACCCCGGAAGUGCAUUGGAAACUGUAUUUCUAGAGUGUCGGAG
rnacentral:rRNA from 1 species